GACGAACGCUGGCGGCGUGCCUAAUACAUGCAAGUUGAGCGCUGAAGGUUGGUACUUGUACCAACUGGAUGAGCAGCGAACGGGUGAGUAACGCGUGGGGAAUCUGCCUUUGAGCGGGGGACAACAUUUGGAAACGAAUGCUAAUACCGCAUAAAAACUUUAAACACAAGUUUUAAGUUUGAAAGAUGCAAUUGCAUCACUCAAAGAUGAUUCCGCGUUGUAUUAGCUAGUUGGUGAGGUAAAGGCUCACCAAGGCGAUGGUACAUAGCCGACCUGAGUGGGGGAUGGGCCACAGUGGGACUGGGAAACGGCCCAAACCCCUACGGGAGGCAGCAGGAGGGAAUCGUCGGCAAUGGACGAAAGUCUGACCGAGCAACGCCGCGGGAGUGAAGAAGGUUUUCGGAGCGUAAAACGCUGUUGGUAGAGAAGAACGAUGGUGAGAGUGGAAAGCUCAUCAAGUGACGGUAACUACCCAGAAAGGGACGGCUAACUACGUG
rnacentral:rRNA from 1 species